GAAUUAUUGCGAACGUACAUUGC
rnacentral:siRNA from 1 species